rnacentral:rRNA from 1 species
AUUGAACGCUGGCGGCAUGCCUUACACAUGCAAGUCGAACGGCAGCACGGGUGCUUGCACCUGGUGGCGAGUGGCGAACGGGUGAGUAAUACAUCGGAACGUACCUUAUCGUGGGGGAUAACGCAGCGAAAGCUGUGCUAAUACCGCAUACGCCCUGCGGGGGAAAGCGGGGGAUCGCAAGACCUCGCGCGAUUAGAGCGGCCGAUGCCUGAUUAGCUUGUUGGUGGGGUAAAAGCCCACCAAGGCGACGAUCAGUAGCUGGUCUGAGAGGACGAUCAGCCACACUGGGACUGAGACACGGCCCAGACUCCUACGGGAGGCGGCAGUGGGGAAUUUUGGACAAUGGGGGCAACCCUGAUCCAGCAAUGCCGCGUGAGUGAAGAAGGCCUUCGGGUUGUAAAGCUCUUUUGUCAGGGAAGAAACACCGGCUCUAACACAGUCUGGGAAUGACGGUACCUGAAGAAUAAGCACCGGCUAACUACGUGCCAGCAGCCGCGGUAA